GGCGGGAUGGCUGAGCGGUUGAAAGCGCCGCACUCGAAAUGCGGUGUCUUCGCAAGAGGACCGGGGGUUCGAAUCCUCCUCCCGCCGCCU
rnacentral:tRNA from 1 species